rnacentral:tRNA from 1 species
AAUAAAGUAAGCUAAAUUACUAAGCUUUUGGGUUCAUACCCCAAAUAUGAUUAAAAAAUCCUUUAUUA